GACGAAGGUGGCAACCGUUGUUCGGAAUCACUGGGCAUAAAGCGCACGUAGGCGGCGGCGUAAGUCGGGUGUGAAAGCCCUCGGCCCAACCGAGGAAUUGCGCCCGAUACUGCGUUGCUUGAGGGCAGGAGGGGAGCGUGGAAUUCCUGGUGGAGCGGUGAAAUGCGUUGAUAUCAGGAGGAACACCAGCGGCGAAGGCGACGCUCUGGCCUGCUUCUGACGCUGAGGUGCGAAAGCCAGGGGAGCAAACGGG
rnacentral:misc_RNA from 1 species